ensembl:lncRNA
ACGCACGCACAGCCCUCAGGUCCUAUAGGCUUUUGGCUUGUUCCCGAAUAGACAGCACUCACUACUUCACUCCUCACCCGUUUACUUGUCUCUCUGCGUCUCUCUAUUCCACUCGUUUAGGGCAACACUGGGAGAACAAAAAACAACAACAACAACAAAAACAACAACAACAACAACAACAGAAGAGACAGAGAAAGAGGGCACGGAAGGAGGGAUGGAACUGGUACACACGCAGUGGCACUUCCUAGGAGAGGAGAGGAACCAUGAAGGACUGAACUACAGGGAUUGUCGACAAGAGAACGACAGACUUCCAAGGAUAAACGGAGGAGCUGAUGGCCUCCAUGCAGCCUCUGUUUCAGUGCCUGAAGACUGCCACAGGUGCACAGCAGACCUGCAGACAAAUGGCUAAGCACAUCCCAGCGCAGUCUGAGGAGACGGAGAGUCGGAUAAAAGAGCAGUUUGAGGAGCUCCGGCGGUUCCUGAGGGCAGAGGAGGAGGCGCGGAUAGCCGCCGUGAGGGAGGAGCAGGAGAGGAAGGCUCGGGCGCGUCGAGAGAGGGCGGAGAGGAUGAGGAAGGAGAUGUGCAAGCUCCUCCACACGCUCAAAGCCUCCCAGAUGGAGAUGGAGAUGGACGGGGGAGACGGGCUUCACUUCCUUCAGGUUAAACACAAACAAGACUGUAGCACUGAUGAGAUGUUGGCACUGAUGAGAUGUUGGCACUGAUGAGAUGUUGGCACUGAUGAGAUGUUUUGCACUGAUGAGAUGUUGGCACUGAUGAGAUGUUGGCACUGAUGAGAUGUUUUGCACUGAUGAGAUGUUU